rnacentral:rRNA from 1 species
AACGAACGCUGGCGGCGUGCCUAACACAUGCAAGUCGAGCGCGAAAAGGGCAACCUGAGUAGAGCGGCGCACGGGUGCGUAACACGUGGGUAAUCUGCCCUGAAGUCUGGGAUAACCUUCCGAAAGGUUGGCUAAUACCGGGUAAGCUCACGGGGACUUUGGUUCCUGGGAGAAAAGUGGACCUCUAUUUAUAAGUUCACACUUGAGGACGAGCCCGCGGCCCAUCAGCUCGUUGGCGGGGUAACGGCCCACCAAGGCAACGACGGGUAGCUGGUCUGAGAGGACGCAGGUUUUGAC